CUCUAGGUAGGUCAAUUUUCUGAAAUGUACUGCGCGAAGCAGCGUAGUUCUGUGGCAGAUUCUGUCUUUCUUGAUAUAAUUUCUUAUACACUUGAGAUAUUGCAUUUUUGUAAAUUUUCAUUAAAAAUAGACUUUAAGAAAUUUCUAAAAAGGUAAAUCAUGUAUUUUUCUUUGAAGAGGUUGAUUUUAUAUGAUUUUUCAAAGUUGAGAUUCAUAUAUGAUUACAUAUUUGAAGUUACUUAUUUGGGAUAGUUGAGUAAAACUAUGCUUAAGUCAUUGGUCAAUUCUUGAAUUGAUAUUUUAGUUAUCAAUUGUAAACUAAUCUAUAUAGAAUGGGUUAGUUACUCUUACUUUUUCAACUUGAGAUAUCCCAAGAGAUAUGAUGUUACUGUUUGCUUUUGGUUAGUUUAGUUGAUGCAACCCUAGUUUUGCAAAAGAUUAAAAGUUUAUCGGGAUGCUAUUUAUAGUUAUUUCUUCUUAUCUAGUUAUCCAACCUUAUUUUGUAAUCUUGCUAUUAUGAAGGUGACAGUAACAAUGCUAGAUAAGUGAGCAAGAGUUUCUACAUCGUUAAGUAUAUCAGGUUAAGCUGUGAUGCAGAUGGUAGCAAGCAGAGCUAAGCCCUCGGUGUAUAUAUAUAUAAUUUAGGCUCGGGAUUUCAUGUCCUCAUACAUGUAAUCCACUUGAGUUGUUUCCGCUGCAACACUUAAUGUACCUUACUUUAUUGAUGUGUUGUAGAGAUUUUAAACCAAUAGCUUCGAGAAUUAUAUUAUUUAGACAGCUUGUCGUUGUGUUAUUGUAAGUUGUCUACUCGUGAGUUUUAAAAGUGUUGCCUACGAUUAUUCAAUAUUAUAGU